GGGGAAUUAGCUCAGUGGUAGAGUACUUGCCUAGCAAGCACAAGGCCCUGGGUUCGGUCCCCAGCUCUG
rnacentral:tRNA from 1 species